rnacentral:lncRNA from 1 species
AGGUCAACGUUUCUGGGGACUGCACACUCAUGAUGUGUGGGUGACCUUGGAGCUCCAGGAGACAGUCUGCACUCGGCUUUCUUCACCGCCAACGUCUCCUCGAUUCACUCCCCCGAGGAACCCCCCGCUGCCUCCGCGAGCUCACAGGCUGGAUGUUAAACCCCGGGGAGCCCGCGGGCCGACAAGGAGCUCCCGAGGAUCGGGCCUAAAGAGGGAGCGGUAACGGCGGCUUGACUCGAAUGUCUUUGUGAGUACCUGCGUGUUGGGUCAUCUGACGCCUGACACUCGCUCUUAUCCCGGUCCAGAUCCAGGAAGGCGGCGCCGCUUCGAUCACGAGAGCUCGUUGACCUUGAACAGCGAACCGCGCCAGAAAAACCACAACCUUUGAGACGCGGCGAGGAAAUGAGAGCGAGGACGAACAAUCAGGACAAACAGAAGGGUGAGCAGGUGAGACACAGAAACAGAAUGU